ensembl:lncRNA
UUUUUUUUUUUUUUUUGCUUUCUGGAGUAUUUUUAAAAGCAAAUCUCAGAAAUCAUGUCAUUUCACAUAUAUAUGUCUUUUCUAACCAAUAAAGACUUUUAAUUUAACCAUCUUACAUUAUUACAAUUAACAUGUUUAAUAAUAAGUCCUUAAGGCUGGUUAUGGUCAAGAUUUAAGCAAAGCCCAUAUAUUUGCAUUUGAUUUUCAUGUUUCUGAAGUUUCUUUAAUUUUUAAUGCCAUCAAUUUAUUGGGAGGUACUGGGUCAUUUGGAUUGUAGCUUGCCCCACAUUUCACAUUCAGUUGAUUUUUUUCUUCAGUGUCAUUUAACUUGCAAGUAUUAAGUUUUAAUGGCAUACGCACUGAACAAGAGUCCAUUCAUUAAUUUAAGAAGAAUAUCCAGUUUCAAAUCAAUAUUUGGGGCAGCUAUUCACUCUUGAUAGUAAAUUUAAGACUUGCAGAGCUUUUGAAUCAGAUGACAUUUAGAUCUUGAAGGAAAAUAUGUAUGUCUAUUUUGUGGUAUUUAAACUACCAAGGAAUUCGGUAAUAGGUCACACAGCAAGUUUGGGAGCAGGAAUUUGUAUUAAAGUGUCAGGGAGUUCCUGUCAUGGUGCAGUGGAAACAAACCCAAUUAGGAACCAUGAGGCUGCAGGUUCGAUCCCUGACCUCUCUCAGUGGGUUAAGGAUCCGGGCUUUGCCAUGUGCUGUGGUGUAGGUCACAAGCGAGUCUUAGAUCUGGUGUUGCUAUGGCUCUGGUGUAGGCCAGUAGCUGUAGCUCCAAUUUGACCCCUAGCCUGGGAACCUCCAUAUGCCACAGGUGUAGCCCUAAAAAGACAAAAGAUUAAAAAAAUAUAUUAAAGUGUCAUGAGUCUGUGUUCUUUUAAUAUUCAUAUUUACUCGUAUUUCUGUUCGUCACUUUUCACUAUACUUGCCUUUUUGCCUGUAGUCAGCAAAACAAUUAUUUGAUAUCAUUCCUUGCUCAACCAACCUACUAAUUUUUGUGUUAAUAUUGGAAUAUUCUUGAAGUCCCAUUGGGGCUCAGUGGUAAUGAACCCGACUAGGAUCCAUGAGAAUGUGGGUUCAAUCCCUGGCCUCGGUCAGUGGAUUAAGGAUCCUCUGUUGCUGUGAGCUGUGGUGUAGGUCACAGAUCCGCCCUGAAUCUGACAUUGCUGUGGCUGUGGUGUAGGCUGGCAGCUCCAGCUCUGAUUCGACCCCUAGCCUGGGAACUUAUGUGCUACAGGUGUAUCCCGUAAAAAAAAGGAGGGGUGGAUAUUCUUCUAACAGGAUCAAAAAUUACUAUUCAUUUGUAGUCAUUUAUAUUGAGAUAAAUCAGUUUUUUAACUUUUCACUUGUAACAAAUUCCAUGAAGAAACAUGUGGCACCAGAGCCACACUAUAAAAAUUAUAGUCCCAUGUAUAGUCCCAAACUUAUUUCUCACAAUAGAACAAAGGAGUUUUAGAGAAACUAUAAAAGUCUCUUAACCAGAUUUGCACCUUCAUAUUUGAUGUUUUACUCUGCAUUCCUCUGUGGCUUUGCUUUCAAUAUAAAAUCAUAUUCUUUAAAUGGUCUAAUAAACAUUUUGCUAUAUUUGCUUCACAUAUAUUGUGUUGUACAAGAUUUUUUUUAAGGAAAAAUUUCUGUCUUAGUCCAGUUGGGCUGCUGUAACAGAACAUGAUAGAUUGGGUAGCUUAUAAACUACAGAAGCUUAUUUCUCACAGUUCUAGAAGCUGGGAAGUCCAAGGUCACAAUGUGGUCAGAUUCUAUGUCUGGUGAGGGCCUUCUUCCUGGCUCAUAGACUGCUAUCUUCUCUCUGGAACUUAACAUAGUAUAAGUGGCAAGGAAGAUCUCAGGGGCCUCCUUUACAGGGGCACCUAUCCUAUUUACCAAAUUACCUCCUAAAGACUCCACCUCCAAAUAGCAUUGUGUCAGGGAUUAGGUUUCAACCUAUGAUUUAUUGCAGAGGAGGGGGCACAGAUAUUCAGGCCAUUUUGUAUUGUACUAUUUAAACAUUAUGUACCAUAGUUUCAAUAGGUACACUAGUAUAUUUUUAAAUUGACCUUCCUGACAAAUAUAUCAGCAUUAAGAAUUAAAGUCCUCCCAACCACCAGGUGGAAAAGAUAAUAUAAAUCUUGAUUUGAAAAAAAAGAAAAAAAAA